rnacentral:tRNA from 1 species
CAGAUGUAGUUCAUCGGUAGAACACCAGCUUCCCAAGCUGGAUAGGCGGGUUCGACUCCCGUCAUCUG